UGCGUGGGCUAACAUUUUGAAUUGAGAAACUAGGUGGUUUCAAUUUAGAUCAAUCUUAAAGGUGGUCAUUUUCAGAUAACCAAACCUUCACUACUUUGAGAUCUGCCUGGGUACAAGUGUAUUUGUUCCACAAUUUGAUUUUGAUUAUCUUGAAGACCUGUUUUACCUGAUCUUCAGUUUCUUUUAUCUUGGAAUGGAUUCAGGAAUUUGAAAAUAUAUCAUAGUCAAUGGGAAUGGAGUUUUGAAGAUAUUUUGAUGGAAGUAAUGAAAUGAUUCUUGUAUUGGAACGGGAAAGAUAUCUUUGGCAGAUCCAAAGAUAUUCCACCACUUGAUAAACCAAAAUGGAUAAUUGAUUUUGUAAGCAUGGUAGCAGAAUUGAAUGCGGCUGGUAGUUCUGAUACUAAAUGACAUUGAACUAUGCCAUCUGAUAAUCUCUAUAGGAGAACGAAUGAGGAACACAGGGUUUUGAAAAGGUUUUCUCCGUGUUUGGAUCUUGAUUCCAAUACAUCGGAUUCAUGACUUUCAAAUUUUUUAAUUUUGAGUACGCGAUUUUUGAAGGAUCAUCGCGACUCGGAAUAUAAGUAAUUUUAACGGAUUUGGUGUCGACCAAGAUGAAUUCAUAGAACCUUCAGGUCUUAUGGAGGUCUUCCAAGACAUAGAAGAAUCCCGUGGAUAUGCUUUUUUGGCGACCUUACUAAUUUUUGGAUCGUCAUAUUCU